rnacentral:rRNA from 1 species
GAUGAACGCUGGCGGCGUGCCUAAUACAUGCAAGUCGAGCGAACAGAUGAGGAGCUUGCUCCUCUGACGUUAGCGGCGGACGGGUGAGUAACACGUGGAUAACCUACCUAUAAGACUGGGAUAACUUCGGGAAACCGGAGCUAACACCGGAUAAUAUAUUGAACCGCAUGGUUCAAUAGUGAAAGACGGUUUUGCUGUCACUUAUAGAUGGAUCCGCGCCGCAUUAGCUAGUUGGUAAGGUAACGGCUUACCAAGGCAACGAUGCGUAGCCGACCUGAGAGGGUGAUCGGCCACACUGGAACUGAGACACGGUCCAGACUCCUACGGGAGGCAGCAGUAGGGAAUCUUCCGCAAUGGGCGAAAGCUUGACGGAGCAACGCCGCGUGAGUGAUGAAGGUCUUCGGAUCGUAAAACUCUGUUAUUAGGGAAGAACAAAUGUGUAAGUAACUAUGCACGUCUUGACGGUACCUAAUCAGAAAGCCACGGCUAACUACGUG